rnacentral:ribozyme from 1 species
UGCCCAGCAACUCCUAUCCCUAUACCUCCACGCGGUACCGGCCGGAAACAACGAGCAACCUUAGGGAAGAUCGGGUAACCAACCCCGGUGGAAACUUUGGUCGUAGGCUGACAGGGAAGG